GAUUGAGGAUGGGCUGGAAGGAGCUAAGGAAUCUGUAGUUUGAUUGGUAUGAUUGUUUUUUUUUUUCUUAUAGUGGAAUUUAAAUUAUUUGAGGACUAUUCAAUUUGGGUAGUUAAACUUAUAGGUUGGGAUUGAAUAGAUAGAUGAGAUAAUUACAUUUUUGAUGGAACUAUAACAGGAUAGUGAUUAUGAGGAUGAGGAAGAGGAUGAAAUUGAAUCAUUUGAGCCUUUUUUUUUUUUACCCCUUUUAAUUAUGUUGUUGUACUGCCACCAAUGGUGAUUGGUACUUUGUUUUUCUUCGUCAUUCUUAGCUUGAAUAAUACAUCCUCACAAUUUAC
rnacentral:lncRNA from 1 species